UAUAUAUGCAAAGGAAAUGAAAACAGAAUCUUGAAGACAUAUCUGCACUCUCAGGUUCAUUGCAGCAUUAUUCACAAUAGCCAACAUAUGGAAACAAUCUAAGUGUCUACUGGCAGAGAAAU